rnacentral:misc_RNA from 1 species
UUGUAAAAUAAUUGGUCAUAUAGAUUUCGGUAGAGUACAAAAUACUUGCAGUAGUUGUUGAGAAUUCAUAGCUCGGCAGUCCGGUCCAGUUCGUGAUAGUUCGCUCCGAUUCGCCGGGGCGUUUAAUCUUGGUUUCAACAUCCACAAAAUAAUCCACCACUUACCACUACCUAGUGCUAGUGCAUAUAUAUCCAUCAGUACUGAGUACAGUAGCUGUGAUAUCGAUAUUACGAUUCCUCGUAGAGGCGUCUCAGUUUGUUCAGUUCCUGACGAAAGAGCAGUCCCAGUCUCCCUUAAACCGUUGCCGCGUUCGUCGGACAGUAACUUCCGUGAUUCGAUACUCUGUUCGUGGCACGUCGCGUCGUUGGACCUUUUUUUGUUCGUCCCUCUCCUCCAACCAUCACCAUCACCACUACCUUCGCCACCACCUGCUCCUAGCUUCACUCACCACGUCUCUUCCCAGCACAUAAUCGUUGUCUUUUACCCGGAUAAAUAUUCUCCAGGUGUCCAGUCCACUUAUAAAAAUCUAUCUAAUCCCAAUAAAAAUAUAUAUUAAAAAAAAAAAAACAUCUAUACUAAUCCAAAGAAAGGUGCGAGUGUAUCAUCCAUAUAAUAUAUAUAUAUAUAUACAUAUAUAUCUACUUAAACUCCGGUUACACGAGAGACAGGAUGGCGUUCAAUGGGGACGGACCCCACUCGAAGAGGCAGCGACUUGAGGAGUCCGGUCACAGGAAUCACGAAUACAGUGGAUACGGAGACGAGCCACGUCGCAAAAGAGAGGACAAUAAUAAACCAAACCACGUCUUAUUGUUUACUAUAAUCAACCCAGUUUAUCCAAUAACAGUGGAAGUACUGCACACAAUCAGUGCACCCAGCGGACAGGUACAACGUAUUGUUAUCUUCAAGAAAAAUGGAGUCCAGGCUAUGGUUGAGUUUGACUCGGUGGAGUCAGCAACGCGGGCAAAAGAAGCCCUCCACGGUUGCGACAUUUACUCGGGUUGCUGCACACUGAAGAUUGACUUUGCCAAGCCGACGAAGCUUAAUGUAUACAAAAACGACGCAGAAAGCUGGGACUACACGACACCAGCAUUGGGUGCAGGGGCCCACCAAAAAGAACCAAACACCAACGGACGACCGGCGCCGCUUCUUGCUGAACCGAGAUAUGGAGCAGCCCCACAGCCAUAUGGCUCGACGCCACAAGUGGCCUUUCCACCCGGGCACGAUCGCUACGAAGAAAGCUUCAAUGGUCCCGCUACCUACGCGGAGCCUUACGAGAGGUAUGGGUUAAAGGGCGACUUUAGCGGGCGAGAGCCUCUUCAUCCGUCUCCAGCUAGACCUGGUUAUGUUCCAAGUCUCGGACAAACGCCGCCGACAAGUACUCAAGGCUCGGUUAUGAUGGUUUACGGUCUACAAGCUGACAAAGUCAACACUGACAAACUCUUCAACCUUUUCUGCCUCUACGGCAAUGUCACCAAGGUUAAAUUUUUAAAGACAAAAGAAGGAUGUGCCAUGAUUCAAAUGGGAGAUAGUAUCGCCGUGGAGCGGUGUCUCCAGAAUUUGAAUAACGUAACGAUCGGGACUGAAGGUAAACUUCAGCUCGGGUUUUCAAAACAAGCCUUUCUCGCAGACGUAACCAACCCUUACGUGCUACCGGACAAGACCGCAAGUUUCAAAGACUUUACCGGGAGCAAAAAUAACAGAUUCUUAAACCCAGCUAUGGCUAACAAAAAUAGAAUACAACCACCGUCAAAAAUAGUCCACUUUUUCAACACACCGCCAGAUCUAACUGAGGAGACAGUUAAUAAAGUAUUUGUCGAGCGUGGAAUAGAGACACCCUUAACCAUAAAACUGUUUCCACUCAAGUCAGAGCGCUCUUCCUCGGGGCUUAUUGAAUUCAGCAGUGUAGGAGUUGCCGUAGCUGCGAUAAUGGAGUGUAACCACACAGCACUGGAGAAUAGCAAUGGCAAGUUUCCAUACAUAAUGAAGUUGUGCUUCUCAUCAUCACGUACGAUACCGGCAAACUUUCCGCCAGCCGGUGCCAGCGCAAAUGCAUCCAGCGAUUCACCCGGUAACGGUCACGCUAAAAUGCAACAAGACUCUGAAUAGAACGUCGAACCCCAGGGCCAGCGCGAGCAUCCUUUUAUCAGCAUCCGUCAUCAUCAGCAUCAUCAACAGCAGCAGCAGCAGCAGUAUCAUCCGCAUACUCAUUUUCGGCAUCAUCGUCUCUCACAAGGUCAGACACAGGGUCAAUAUGGCCUGCAUGAGUUAUGUGUCACGGUAGGAACGGGCGUGCAUCCCCCGACAGCCAUAGCUUUAUCUCCCGUUUUACCUCCGCCACUUCCUCCUUCCUGUCACCUUCUUAUCACGACACCGAGUAUCUAUUCAGGCGUACAGCGGGUGUCUCAUCAGGCUCCCCCGCCGCCUCCUCCUCCUCCUCCACCUCCGCCGCCUACUCCCGGUGCGCCGCCACUUCCGACCCCUGCGGCAUUACCACCUCAACCGUCGCUUCCUCCAUUAUCGUCACAGCCGCUGGCCGCUUUCUGGCCCUACGGAUAAGAGUAUCUAAGUUUAUAUACUUUCUGCUGUCAAACAGAAAGAUUUAAUAUUUAAAAAAAAGGAAAAAAUUAAUAGUAAUAGUUGUAAUAAAAAUAAAAUACGGUAAAAAUUGCAUAUAAACAAGUGUAAAAGCUAAAAAAUAAUACUGAUAAAAGAUACUAAAGUAAAGAGUAAGAAUAAGAAAGUUUAGAUGAAGAAAAAAAAUAUAUAAAUAUACAAGGCUGGACCAACUAUAUCCAGACGUAGACAUGCCUAGAGGUCCCUCGUCCCGUUUUUUGAUUAAUUAAUAGUACUGCCGUGGUUCUGGUUAGUUUUUUAUAAAUCAUCGAUUUUUAUUAUUGAACGGAAAGACAUCACAAUUAUUACAAUAUAACGUGUGAUAGAUUAUAAUGGAUUGCCACUAAAUUUUAGAAUUGCUUUUUUUUUUGUCUCAGAUACAUAUCAAAUCACGUGGCAAUUACGUUUGCUGAUUAGACGAUUUUUUGUCGUUUAUAAUAAAUAAAUAUUUAUAAAUAAAUAAAUAAAUAAUGUAAUAAUUAUUAUGAUAUAUAAUAUUAACAACGAAUGUAUGACUUUUCUUACGUUCGAGCUAUAUAUUCUACAAAGUGUCAUUAUUCUAUUGUUUGCUUUUAAUAAAAGAUAAACACCUGAACCACGUGCUAUUAAAUAUAUUACUGCCGUGUUUAUAAUCAUUUAAAUUACCGUCCAGGAUUACUUUGACAGGGAAAAUAAAUAUAUUACAAUAAUAAUAAAUUAUAUUAAUAAAAAAGUAAGUAAUAGUAAUGGUAUAUUGUCAAGUAAUGUUGGAUUGGUGUAUUUAAUUGGUUAAACUGGAUUUAGAACGAUGAUUACGCGACUUUACGCGAUGUAUUUUUGGAGCCACCUCUAGUCCCCGAUACUGCGCACCAUUUCCGACGAUAAUUGCCGCUGCUCAUUUAUUUACCGCGUCUAGUACCGAUAGAUUGAUUAAUUAAUUCGGAAGGUUUAUUGUAAAUUACAAAUUGAACAUUUUUUUUACUUUUAUUUUCAAAUAUUGAAGUAUUUAGGAAGCUUAGUGAGCGGCAAUAAAUCGUCGUGACUCUUUUAUGAAUUUUAAACAAAAAAAUAAAUAUAUAUACACAUAAAUAUAUCUUCUUGACUGCUAUAUUUAAGAACAAUAAAUUUUAUCUUAUCACUUUCCGCUCACACUUGCGGUGGGCUGUAGUGUUCAGAUUUCCUAAAAACUUUGAAAUAAAUAAAUAAAUAUUGAAGAAAUGAAAAUAAAAAAAAAA